rnacentral:rRNA from 1 species
ACGCGAAGAACCUUACCUGGACUCGAAAUCUAGUUGACAGUCUCAGAGAUGAGAUCUUCCCGCAAGGGACGGCUGGAUAGGUGCUGCAUGGCUGUCGUCAGCUCGUGUCGUGAGAUGUUGGGUUAAGUCCCGCAACGAGCGCAACCCUUACCCUUAGUUGCCCGCCCGCAAGGGAGGCACCCUAAGGGAACUGCCUCGGAUAACGAGGAGGAAGGUGGGGAUGACGUCAAGUCCUCAUGGCCUUUAUGCCCAGGGCUACACACGUGCUACAAUGGCCGGUACAAAACGUCGCAAACCCGCGAGGGGGAGCCAAUCGCCAAAAACCGGUCUCAGUUCGGAUUGCAGGCUGCAACUCGCCUGCAUGAAGCUGGAAUCGCUAGUAAUCGCGUAUCAGAACGACGCGGUGAAUACGUUCCCGGGCCUUGUA